rnacentral:rRNA from 1 species
UACAGAGGGGGCAAGCGUUGUUCGGAAUUACUGGGCGUAAAGGGCGCGUAGGCGGCCUGCUAAGUCGAACGUGAAAUCCCCGGGCUCAACCCGGGAACUGCGUCCGAUACUGGUUGGCUUGAAUCCGGGAGAGGGAUGCGGAAUUCCAGGUGUAGCGGUGAAAUGCGUAGAUAUCUGGAGGAACACCGGUGGCGAAGGCGGCAUCCUGGACCGGCAUUGACGCUGAGACGCGAAAGCGUGGGGAGCGAACAGG